UACGGGGGGAGCAAGCGUUGUUCGGAUUUACUGGGCGUAAAGGGCGCGUAGGCGGCGCAACAAGUCACUUGUGAAAUCUCCGGGCUUAACCCGGAGCGGCCAAGUGAUACUGUCGUGCUAGAGUGCGGAAGGGGCUACUGGAAUUCUCGGUGUAGCGGUGAAAUGCGUAGAUAUCAGGAGGAACACCGGUGGCGAAGGCGGUUCUCUGGGCAUUACCUGACGCUGAGGCACGAAAGUGUGGGGAGGCGAACAGG
rnacentral:rRNA from 1 species